ensembl:lncRNA
AUGGGGGGGCACCUAGGUCCCCACCCUCAGCACCAGGAGCUGGCACCUGAGCCUAGCGACGGAAGAGAGCGCGGGGCAGGGCCGCAGCCCCUACCGCGGCGCGCUCGGAGCGCCCCCAGGCCGGGCCUUGGCCCCUCCGCGUCGGUCCCGGAGCGAGGUUGGGGGAGGGGAAGGGGAGGGUUCGCCGCGGGGCCACCUGACUUGAUGGAAGAGGCUGCGCAGUGGGUCCCGUCUCGGUGGAGAAGACGGUGCGGGCAGGUGAGGUGCGAGGGCGCGCCCCCGCCUCGGUGGGCGAUGCUGUUCAUGGGACGAACGAGGCUGGCCAAUGCCGAGACCACCGCCUCUCUCUGUCCCCCGCACCAGCCCCCGCCUCCUUUCCUUCCUUUUUUCCCACCAGGAGCCAAACCGUGGGAUGUCCAUGUGAACAAAACUGGACAGACAAUAGCCACCGUGGGCCAGACUUGGCCAGGCGAGCCAAGAGCAUCGUGGGGGAACCGAGCUCAACCGAAGGGGCAAUGCGGGCCACAGGGAGGUUUGAACUUGAGGCCUCUUGAGCUGCUGGGGUCGCACAGCGCCAAGCCGGAGCCACGGUCGUGUGAUCACCAGGCCGGCCCAGCCCCGGGCGGAAAGGCUGAGGGACCCUUGCGCACCGGUUUUUGCACCACCAAGACAAUAGAUUCUCAGCCCUUCCGGAAGAUGGCUCAAGCCCCAGAUCAGGCACAGGCAUCUUUAGUAAAGUCAACAUUUCUGUGCUGUGUGUACAGUGUGGGGCAGGAGAAAGGUUUCCUGAAGCUGCCAACUCUGGAUAACCAACUUUUGAAUCUGCACUUUGAGAAAUUUUUACAUCCGAGACACUUGAGUUUCAAUGAAUUGAGUUCAGUGAAUUAUUUAAAUUGUGACAUGCGUAUCUGUUACACAAAUUGUUCGUUGUAUUGAGUAAUUUGGACUGUGAAGAAAACUCAGCGCUAGCUCAAUUCUAUUGCUGUCUCAGGCCUUUAAAAGUUACAAGCAGUGUAUUCGUGUUUAACAACAGAGAGCUGACUGCACCUGCAGUGCCCUCCACGCCUUUGGAAAGCAAGGUGGGCGGGGCGGGGGGAGCGAACUGGGCACAGAGCACAUGAAGGGUUGGUAAAAUAACCAGCUACUACCUCCCGGCCCCGAGGAGGACUGACGGAGAGUCAGUGUCAGCCCUCUGCCACUGUCGGAGGCUGAGCACACAGAAUUCACUUUCAUUGUAGAAAUGAAAGGAUCUGUGCCCCCUGGAUAAUGUCAACUGCUAGAGCUGCUUCUCCAAAUGUGUUGCCUUGUUUGCCAAGAGGACGGGCCCACGUGGAGCGAAUGAGAAAUGCUGCUGAUGCUUCCAUGGGGGUGCGGAGUGCGCUGUGACUGCAGACUGGCCUGAGGGGCUGCAGCUGUGUGUUUGCCGGCGCUUGACCCGUCUCCCGCUCCUCAUGUGUCGGGUGUUUGCAUCGUGUUCCUUAGUGCACACAAAUGCAUCUUAGGAUACGUCCUUAGCAGCCCAUCCCACCUUCUUGAAACCUAUUAUGACCCAGAGUCUAGAAUGUUAAGGAAGAAGCAUAUGAGACCGUAAAAACCAUUCUCUGCGGCUGGCAUUUGGUGCAGCUCUUAAGUCACUGUCUGAAACACCUGCAGCCUAUAUGAGUGCCUGACUCCAGUCCCAGCUACUCAGCAGCUCAUCCAGCUGCCUGCUAAUGCACACCCUGGGGAGCAGCAAAUGAUGGUUCAAGUAGUAGGGCCCCUGCUACCCCUGUGAUAGACCUAGACUGAGUCCCUGGCUCCUGGCUCCCGGCUCCCGGCUCCCAGCUCCCGCCCAGCCCAGCCCACCCCUAGCUGUUGCAGGCAUUUAGGAAGUGAACCAACGGCUGGAAGAUCUCUGUCUCUCUGCCUUUCAAAUGAGAUUAAAGUCAAGCAAACAGUUCUCGGGAAAAGAGACCUGGUGGCCAUACCUGGAUCUUGGAUGGAAAGUCUCGGGGCUAGGCGGAUCCUACUGUUCUAGAAAAAUGCCAGUGGAGAUUCUGGGACAAACAAGGCAAUAGCAGUUCAAAGCCAUCUCGGGAGAGAGUACUCUUCUAAGGUAGUGCUUUGCUUCCAUGGAGAAGCUCUCCAGAGUUGGUUUCUGUUAAUAGCAAUUGAAAGAAAUAAACAAAAAGCGCAUUUUAAAAAAAAAAGCCA